UACGUAGGGGGCAAGCGUUGUCCGGAAUCAUUGGGCGUAAAGCGCGUGUAGGCGGUUCUGUAAGUCUGCUGUGAAAGUCCAGGGCUCAACCCUGGGAUGCCGGUGGAUACUGCAGGGCUAGAGUACGGAAGAGGCGAGUGGAAUUCCCGGUGUAGCGGUGAAAUGCGCAGAUAUCGGGAGGAACACCUAUUGCGAAGGCAGCUCGCUGGGACGUUACUGACGCUGAGACGCGAAAGCGUGGGGAGCGAACAGG
rnacentral:rRNA from 1 species